UACGAAGGGGGCUAGCGUUGCUCGGAAUCACUGGGCGUAAAGCGCACGUAGGCGGCUUUCUAAGUCAGGGGUGAAAUCCUGGAGCUCAACUCCAGAACUGCCUUUGAUACUGGAGAGCUUGAGUCCGGAAGAGGUGAGUGGAAUUCCGAGUGUAGAGGUGAAAUUCGUAGAUAUUCGGAAGAACACCAGUGGCGAAGGCGGCUCACUGGACCGGUAUUGACGCUGAGGUGCGAAAGCGUGGGGAGCAA
rnacentral:rRNA from 1 species